CGGGACGGGUGAGUAAUGUCUGGGAAACUGCCUGAUGGAGGGGGGUAACUACUGGAAACGGUAGCUAAUACCGCAUAACGUCGCAAGACCAAAGUGGGGGACCUUCGGGCCUCUUGCCAUCGGAUGUGCCCAGAUGGGAUUAGCUAGUAGGUGGGGUAACGGCUCACCUAGGCGACGAUCCCUAGCUGGUCUGAGAGGAUGCCAGCCACACUGGAACUGAGACACGGUCCAG
rnacentral:rRNA from 1 species